GUUUGUCGACGUUUGAAGAACUCGCGAAUUGCAAUUAUUUGAAAUUUGAACAAAAAAAUACAGACUACAGUCGUGCAGAGUUCUAAUAGUUCUAUUCAUAAAUAUUAUUACAUAAUCGCCAUGCAUAAGUGUAUUGUUUUUAGUAAAACAUCCGAAGUAUCGCCUAGCCACAUUAUGUUAGUUUUAAUUUAAAAUUGUGUUUCGAAUUAUGGUGUCGGUCGUGCUGUGCUGUGCCGCUGCGGUGGUAGACGACUGUGUUGUCUCCAGAACCGAACAAUGUCUGCGAGGGUGGAGCGUGAUGUUGCUACUCGUUACCGGUCGUUAGCAGACAAAAAAUUGCACAAAUGCUCAAGACAUGCAUGACGGCCAGAAUAUUGUGUUUUUCCGACGAUGAGUGAGAAGAAAAUGAACAGACGAAUAAAGGAUAUGGAGACCUUACAGUUGAUGAUUUUAAUUCAACCAGAAAAGCCUUAGAAACUUAAUAAUGCCUAAUUCAC